UACGUAGGGUGCAAGCGUUAAUCGGAAUUACUGGGCGUAAAGCGUGCGCAGGCGGUUCCGUAAGAUAGAUGUGAAAUCCCAGGGCUUAACCCUGGAACUGCGUUUGAAACUGCUGGUCUUGAGUACCGGAGAGGUCAUCGGAAUUCCUUGUGUAGCGGUGAAAUGCGUAGAUAUAAGGAAGAACACCAGUGGCGAAGGCGGAUGACUGGACGGCAACUGACGGUGAGGCGCGAAAGCGUGGGGAGCAAACAGG
rnacentral:rRNA from 1 species